rnacentral:rRNA from 1 species
UACGUAGGCAGCAAGCGUUGUUCGGAAUUACUGGGCGUAAAGCGUGCGUAGACGGUUAUUUAAGUCGGGUGUGAAAGCCCCGGGCUCAACCUGGGAAUUGCAUUCGAGACUGAAUAGCUAGGGUACGGUAGAGGGAAGCGGAAUUUCCGGUGUAGCGGUGAAAUGCGUAGAUAUCGGAAGGAACAUCAGUGGCGAAAGCGGCUUCCUGGACCAGUACCGACGUUCAGGCACGAAAGCGUGGGGAGCAAACAGG